AUUGAACGCUGGCGGCAUGCCUUACACAUGCAAGUCGAACGGCAGCACGGGUGCUUGCCCCUGGUGGCGAGUGGCGAACGGGUGAGUAAUACAUCGGAACAUGUCCUGUAGUGGGGGAUAGCCCGGCGAAAGCCGGAUUAAUACCGCAUACGAUCUACGGAUGAAAGCGGGGGACCUUCGGGCCUCGCGCUAUAGGGUUGGCCGAUGGCUGAUUAGCUAGUUGGUGGGGUAAAGGCCUACCAAGGCGACGAUCAGUAGCUGGUCUGAGAGGACGACCAGCCACACUGGGACUGAGACACGGCCCAGACUCCUACGGGAGGCAGCAGUGGGGAAUUUUGGACAAUGGGCGAAAGCCUGAUCCAGCAAUGCCGCGUGUGUGAAGAAGGCCUUCGGGUUGUAAAGCACUUUUGUCCGGAAAGAAAUCCUUGGCCCUAAUACGGUCGGGGGAUGACGGUACCGGAAGAAUAAGCACCGGCUAACUACGCG
rnacentral:rRNA from 1 species